AAGCCAGGGCUCAAACAUCCCCAAAGGGCGUCCGGGCUGAUGACGAUAGUUCCCAAUCGCCCUCCAGACGCACACUGGCUGGAACAACCGCAGGGACUUCCCUGACCGACCCGGCGUUUGCUCAGCUUUGAAUUCCCGCUCUGUAGAUCUGUCGCAAUUUAACCAGAGGUCACCCUGUGCAUGGAACUGUUUGAGAAAGAUCGGAGGAUGUGCCCUUUUGGAGGAGAUGUGUACCUGGGGGAAGGUCUUGAAACUUCAAAUGCCCACUCCAUUCCCAGUUAGCACCUCUCUUCCUCAUGUCUAUGAAUCAGGAUGGGAAGUUCUCAGCUACUGCUCUAGCACCAUACCUGCCUGCCAGAUGCCGUGCUCCCUGCCAUGAUGGUCAUGAACUCACCCUUUAAAACUGUAAGCCCUCAGUAAAGUCUUUCUUCU
rnacentral:lncRNA from 1 species